CGCGACGAUGCGGGAGAGCUCGAAGCGAAAACAGACACAAUGUUUUCGUGUUCGGCGCCGACGGAGCAACCGCCCCGGAAACUCUCAGGCACAAGGACCGUGUCGUCAGG
rnacentral:ncRNA from 2 species